rnacentral:rRNA from 1 species
UACGAACGCUGGCGGCAUGCCUAACACAUGCAAGUCGAACGAGACCUUCGGGUCUAGUGGCGCACGGGUGCGUAACGCGUGGGAACCUGCCCUUAGGUUCGGAAUAACUCCCCGAAAGGGGUGCUAAUACCGGAUAAUGUCUUCGGACCAAAGAUUUAUCGCCUUUGGAUGGGCCCGCGUUGGAUUAGCUAGUUGGUAGGGUAAAAGCCUACCAAGGCGACGAUCCAUAGCUGGUCUGAGAGGAUGAUCAGCCACACUGGGACUGAGACACGGCCCAGACUCCUACGGGAGGCAGCAGUGGGGAAUAUUGGACAAUGGGCGAAAGCCUGAUCCAGCAAUGCCGCGUGAGUGAUGAAGGCCUUAGGGUUGUAAAGCUCUUUUAACCGGGAUGAUAAUGACAGUACCGGGAGAAUAAGCUCCGGCUAACUCCGUG